UACGUAGGGUGCGAGCGUUGUCCGGAAUUACUGGGCGUAAAGCGCACGUAGGCGGAUUGUUAAGUCAGGGGUGAAAUCCUGGAGCUCAACUCCAGAACUGCCUUUGAUACUGGCGAUCUUGAGUCCGGGAGAGGUGAGUGGAACUGCGAGUGUAGAGGUGAAAUUCGUAGAUAUUCGCAAGAACACCAGUGGCGAAGGCGGCUCACUGGCCCGGUACUGACGCUGAGGUGCGAAAGCGUGGGGAGCAAACAGG
rnacentral:rRNA from 1 species